AAUAGAUGACGACAUUGACUUUUUCUCACAUGUUUGACCAUUUGUCUUAUUCAAAAAAUUUACGUAAUUAUAAUUUAUUUUGCUAUGAGUUGUUUUAUCACUCAUAGUACUUUAAGUGUGAUUUAUAUCUUAUACAUUCGUAUAAAAUUUUUGAAUAAAACGAAUGGUCAAACAUGUGAGAAAAAGUCAACAGCGUCAUCUAUU
rnacentral:pre_miRNA from 1 species